rnacentral:rRNA from 1 species
AUUGAACGCUGGCGGCAUGCCUUACACAUGCAAGUCGAACGGCAGCACGGGUGCUUGCACCUGGUGGCGAGUGGCGAACGGGUGAGUAAUACAUCGGAACAUGUCCUGUAGUGGGGGAUAGCCCUGCGAAAGCCGGAUUAAUACCGCAUACGAUCCACGGAUGAAAGCGGGGGACCUUCGGGCCUCGCGCUAUAGGGUUGGCCGAUGGCUGAUUAGCUAGUUGGUGGGGUAAAGGCCUACCAAGGCGACGAUCAGUAGCUGGUCUGAGAGGACGACCAGCCACACGGGGACUGAGACACGGCCCAGACUCCUACGGGAGGCAGCAGUGGGGAAUUGUGGACAAUGGGCGAAAGCCUGAUCCAGCAAUGCCGCGUGUGUGAAGAAGGCCUUCGGGUUGUAAAGCACUUUUGUCCGGAAAGAAAUCCUUGACUCUAAUACAGUCGGGGGAUGACGGUACCGGAAGAAUAAGCACCGGCUAACUACGUG